GACGUAGGGGACGGGCGUUGUCCGGAUUCAUUGGGCGUAAAGCGCGCGUAGGCGGCCACGCAAGUCGGGUGUGAAAUCCCGGAGCUCCACUCCGGAACUGCACUCGAAACUGCGCGGCUUGAGGUAGGUAGGGGAGAUCGGAAUUCCUGGUGUAGCGGUGGAAUGCGCAGAUAUCAGGAGGAACACCGGUGGCGAAGGCGGAUCUCUGGGCCUUACCUGACGCUGAGACGCGAAAGCUAGGGGAGCGAACAGG
rnacentral:rRNA from 1 species